GCGAGGUUGCUGAGACAGUUGGUAACUGACCUGUUAUAACUGAGGUUAAGUUUUCACUCCGGGGCUACAGAGGUAGAGACAGUGUGCUCAGGCAUGAUUUCAGGAGAGAGAGCUGCUCCUGUCUACUCCCCCAGCACCCAGUCUGUUUCCUGUGUCUCUCAAGAGAUGAAGGAGAAAAGGCCCAUCUCUGUGGGUGUUGAACCAUGGGAGCAGGGAGUAUUCUGACAAGGACUGAGAGGUUAAGGAAGGAGCCAGGCUCAAGCUUCAAGGGGACAUAUGCCUGACCACCCACCAGCCAACAAUGCAACUCUGGAUACAAGUGCCUGUGCCCUUCCUCCAGUUGCUGGAAUUUAGCUACUAGAUCUAUGCUCCAUCAGCUUCCAGGAGCUCCAACCAUGAUGUCCUGGUCAUGCUGGUCAAGAACGGUUCCCUCGUCCCAACCCCUGACUUGGGUUUGCAACAUGUUCUUGAACCUGGACCACCAGCACCAGGUGAGCCACCCAAGGGAAAUAGGCCCCUUUGGCUCCAUUUGCACAUUUAUUAGGCUGAAUGGUCAUGUCUUCUCUUUUCCAGCAGAUGCUGUAACAAAAUUCCUGAACAGGACGCAAGAGUGGUUCAGCUGAGCCUUGAGAGGUGAUUGUACCAUGGCACCUGUCCCCUGGAUGGGACAACUUGAGGAAGGGCCAUCCAUAUUCCUGUUCCCUACCCAGGACACUGCUAAUGUGCAUAUGAGGAGAACACAAGACCCCAACCUGCUGCAGGAUGGAGAGCAGAGACAACUGAAGCCUUCUGCAUAACACUUGUGCAUUCCUUCUGCAGGCUUCAAAAGACUAAUCUGUGAUUUUAGACACAGGACAGGAGGAGACUGAGAGGUGAACGCUGGCCAAGCCUGCAUGUUCUCCCAGGGAACCUCUCAGAUCUAACUCUC
rnacentral:lncRNA from 1 species